rnacentral:rRNA from 1 species
UACGGGGGGGGCAAGCGUUGUCCGGAAUUACUGGGCGUAAAGGGCUCGUAGGUGGCCAACUAAGUCAGACGUGAAAUCCCUCGGCUUAACCGGGGAACUGCGUCUGAUACUGGAUGGCUUGAGUUCGGGGAGAGGGAUGCGGAAUUCCAGGUGUAGCGGUGAAAUGCGUAGAUAUCUGGAGGAACACCGGUGGCGAAGGCGGCAUCCUGGACCGGCAUUGACGCUGAGGCACGAAAGCGUGGGUAGCAACAGG